rnacentral:rRNA from 1 species
UAGGGAGCAAGCGUUGUCCGGAUUUACUGGGUGUAAAGGGUGCGUAGGCGGACGAUCAAGUCAGCGGUCAAAUGUCGGGGCUUAACCCCGGCCUGCCGUUGAAACUGGUUGUCUUGAGUGAGCGAGAGGUAUGCGGAAUGCGUGGUGUAGCGGUGAAAUGCAUAGAUAUCACGCAGAACCCCGAUUGCGAAGGCAGCAUACCGGUGCUCAACUGACGCUGAUGCACGAAAGCGUGGGGAUCA